CGGGCGGGCGGCGUCGGCGCACUGCCCUCCCCGGAGACAGCGGAGCGUUUCAGCGGCCGCCGGGAACUUGCUGACUCUUCACAUUGCGACUGUCAAGAGUGAACAGUUACCUGAAAAAACCAAGAAGAACCCUCAGUUCAUGGACUGACCAGUUAAAAGAAAAAUACAAAAGAUGAAAAUAAACCAUGAGUUCUCAUGACAGAAGGAUUAUUCCACAAGGAUUCAUACCUAACACUUAAAUGUUCACAGUUCAUAAGUGAACCAGGAAAAGGCAUGAAUGACGACGUGACAACAUUUGAGGAAUGUAUCUAAUAAUUCAGAUCUAAAGUUGAUUGAAAAAUACUGCAAGAGGCUUCCACGACACUGUGACCUCCUGCAUAUGAAAGAUCUUCUACAUAAACAUCCACAAAUGAGAAUCAUAUGCAAUUUCUGCCAGCCCAAAUGGGCCCCUCCAUGCCAAGGAAACUGGUGAACAACCUCCAGCGAAGUGUCCAAGGAGAUGAACCAUGGAGCACCUACACAGCAGGUGUGGGUGCAGUAACCUGCUGCUGGAUGGUGACAAGCAAUGAGACACUGUAUCUUCAUCAGUUCCAGCUAUGUCAGGAAGGAAACAUCAAUCUGCUGCCCUGCUGAUGGCUAAACCAGUAUAAACAGAUCUAACCAUGCUAAACCCUUGACUGCACACAACCAUGUGUACUAUACUUGCUAUAUUGAUUUGAAAAUCAAUGAUGCUAAGUGGGUAACCCCCCUGUGUAAACAUAUUUAUAGCACUCUAAAGGAUUUUUUCCCACCAGUGUGAUAUUCCUAUAAAUUUAUCUCUAAUACCAUUUUAUCUAAUACCAAUUUUAUCAUAAUCUACAGCAUGAAGUAGUGUUGCAUCCUGAGCCAAUAUAUAAGCAUUAAAGAUGAGUAUCUUAUCUCUA